rnacentral:tRNA from 4 species
GGAGGUGUGGCCGAGUGGUUUAAGGCAGCAGUCUUGAAAACUGCCGUAGGGGUGACUCUACCGUGAGUUCGAAUCUCACCGCCUCCG